rnacentral:rRNA from 1 species
GGGUUGUGAGGUUAAGCGACUAAGCGUACACGGUGGAUGCCCUGGCAGUCAGAGGCGAUGAAGGACGUGCUAAUCUGCGAUAAGCGUCGGUAAGGUGAUAUGAACCGUUAUAACCGGCGAUUUCCGAAUGGGGAAACCCAGUGUGAUUCGUCACACUAUCAUUAACUGAAUCCAUAGGUUAAUGAGGCGAACCGGGGGAACUGAAACAUCUAAGUACCCGAGGAAAAGAAAUCAACCGAGAUUCCCCAGUAGCGGCGAGCGAACGGGGAGGAGCCCAGAGCCUGAAUCAGUGUGUGUGUUAGUGGAAGCGUCUGGAAAGGCGCGCGAUACAGGGUGACAGCCCCGUACACAAAAAUGCACAUGCUGUGAGCUCGAUGAGUAGGGCGGGACACGUGGUAUCCUGUCUGAAUAUGGGGGACCAUCCUCCAAGGCUAAAUACUCCUGACUGACCGAUAGUGAACCAGUACCGUGAGGGAAAGGCGAAAAGAACCCCGGCGAGGGGAGUGAAAAAGAACCUGAAACCGUGUACGUACAAGCAGUGGGAGCACAGAGCAAUCUGUGUGACUGCGUACCUUUUGUAUAAUGGGUCAGCGACUUAUAUUCUGUAGCAAGGUUAACCGAAUAGGGGAGCCGAAGGGAAACCGAGUCUUAACUGGGCGUUAAGUUGCAGGGUAUAGACCCGAAACCCGGUGAUCUAGCCAUGGGCAGGUUGAAGGUUGGGUAACACUAACUGGAGGACCGAACCGACUAAUGUUGAAAAAUUAGCGGAUGACUUGUGGCUGGGGGUGAAAGGCCAAUCAAACCGGGAGAUAGCUGGUUCUCCCCGAAAGCUAUUUAGGUAGCGCCUCGUGAAUUCAUCUCCGGGGGUAGAGCACUGUUUCGGCAAGGGGGUCAUCCCGACUUACCAACCCGAUGCAAACUGCGAAUACCGGAGAAUGUUAUCACGGGAGACACACGGCGGGUGCUAACGUCCGUCGUGAAGAGGGAAACAACCCAGACCGCCAGCUAAGGUCCCAAAGUCAUGGUUAAGUGGGAAACGAUGUGGGAAGGCCCAGACAGCCAGGAUGUUGGCUUAGAAGCAGCCAUCAUUUAAAGAAAGCGUAAUAGCUCACUGGUCGAGUCGGCCUGCGCGGAAGAUGUAACGGGGCUAAACCAUGCACCGAAGCUGCGGCAGCGACACUGUGUGUUGUUGGGUAGGGGAGCGUUCUGUAAGCCUGUGAAGGUGUGCUGUGAGGCAUGCUGGAGGUAUCAGAAGUGCGAAUGCUGACAUAAGUAACGAUAAAGCGGGUGAAAAGCCCGCUCGCCGGAAGACCAAGGGUUCCUGUCCAACGUUAAUCGGGGCAGGGUGAGUCGACCCCUAAGGCGAGGCCGAAAGGCGUAGUCGAUGGGAAACAGGUUAAUAUUCCUGUACUUGGUGUUACUGCGAAGGGGGACGGAGAAGGCUAUGUUGGCCGGGCGACGGUUGUCCCGGUUUAAGCGUGUAGGCUGGUUUUCCAGGCAAAUCCGGAAAAUCAAGGCUGAGGCGUGAUGACGAGGCACUACGGUGCUGAAGCAACAAAUGCCCUGCUUCCAGGAAAAGCCUCUAAGCAUCAGGUAACAUCAAAUCGUACCCCAAACCGACACAGGUGGUCAGGUAGAGAAUACCAAGGCGCUUGAGAGAACUCGGGUGAAGGAACUAGGCAAAAUGGUGCCGUAACUUCGGGAGAAGGCACGCUGAUAUGUAGGUGAAGUCCCUCGCGGAUGGAGCUGAAAUCAGUCGAAGAUACCAGCUGGCUGCAACUGUUUAUUAAAAACACAGCACUGUGCAAACACGAAAGUGGACGUAUACGGUGUGACGCCUGCCCGGUGCCGGAAGGUUAAUUGAUGGGGUCAGCGCAAGCGAAGCUCUUGAUCGAAGCCCCGGUAAACGGCGGCCGUAACUAUAACGGUCCUAAGGUAGCGAAAUUCCUUGUCGGGUAAGUUCCGACCUGCACGAAUGGCGUAAUGAUGGCCAGGCUGUCUCCACCCGAGACUCAGUGAAAUUGAACUCGCUGUGAAGAUGCAGUGUACCCGCGGCAAGACGGAAAGACCCCGUGAACCUUUACUAUAGCUUGACACUGAACAUUGAGCCUUGAUGUGUAGGAUAGGUGGGAGGCUUUGAAGUGUGGACGCCAGUCUGCAUGGAGCCGACCUUGAAAUACCACCCUUUAAUGUUUGAUGUUCUAACGUGGACCCGUGAUCCGGGUUGCGGACAGUGUCUGGUGGGUAGUUUGACUGGGGCGGUCUCCUCCUAAAGAGUAACGGAGGAGCACGAAGGUUGGCUAAUCCUGGUCGGACAUCAGGAGGUUAGUGCAAUGGCAUAAGCCAGCUUGACUGCGAGCGUGACGGCGCGAGCAGGUGCGAAAGCAGGUCAUAGUGAUCCGGUGGUUCUGAAUGGAAGGGCCAUCGCUCAACGGAUAAAAGGUACUCCGGGGAUAACAGGCUGAUACCGCCCAAGAGUUCAUAUCGACGGCGGUGUUUGGCACCUCGAUGUCGGCUCAUCACAUCCUGGGGCUGAAGUAGGUCCCAAGGGUAUGGCUGUUCGCCAUUUAAAGUGGUACGCGAGCUGGGUUUAGAACGUCGUGAGACAGUUCGGUCCCUAUCUGCCGUGGGCGCUGGAGAACUGAGGGGGGCUGCUCCUAGUACGAGAGGACCGGAGUGGACGCAUCACUGGUGUUCGGGUUGUCAUGCCAAUGGCACUGCCCGGUAGCUAAAUGCGGAAGAGAUAAGUGCUGAAAGCAUCUAAGCACGAAACUUGCCCCGAGAUGAGUUCUCCCUGACCCUUUAAGGGUCCUGAAGGAACGUUGAAGACGACGACGUUGAUAGGCCGGGUGUGUAAGCGCAGCGAUGCGUUGAGCUAACCGGUACUAAUGAACCGUGAGGCUUAACCUUACAACGCCGAAGGUGUUU